rnacentral:rRNA from 1 species
CCUACGGGAGGCUGCAGUGGGGAAUAUUGGACAAUGGGGGCAACCCUGAUCCAGCCAUGCCGCGUGUGUGAAGAAGGCCCUCGGGUUGUAAAGCACUUUCAGUGAGGAAGAACGCCUGGUGGUUAAUACCCAUCAGGAAAGACAUCACUCACAGAAGAAGCACCGGCUAACUCCGUGCCAGCAGCCGCGGUAAUACGGAGGGUGCGAGCGUUAAUCGGAAUUACUGGGCGUAAAGCGCGCGUAGGUGGCUUGAUAAGCCGGUUGUGAAAGCCCCGAGCUCAACCUGGGAACGGCAUCCGGAACUGUCAAGCUAGAGUGCAGGAGAGGAAGGUAGAAUUCCCGGUGUAGCGGUGAAAUGCGUAGAGAUCGGGAGGAAUACCAGUGGCGAAGGCGGCCUUCUGGACUGACACUGACACUGAGGUGCGAAAGCGUGGGUAGCAAACAGGAUUAGAUACCCUAGUAGUC